GUGAGAGGCUGGAGAAGAAGGCGGCUGCAAGGACAAGCCCACACCAGGACACCUGUGGCAGCGGCCACUGAGGUUGUGUCCGGAAACAGACUGCACCCCAGGUGAGCACGUGUGCACCAGCCUCUCCGCACCGAGGCCUGGCACAGGGCCCGGAGUCAGGCGCCAAUCCAAAUUAGGCUCGAAUUCCCUCUGUAAGCAAACAGCAGGACAGGGAACAGAGGCGCCUGCUAAUUUUGAAUGGAUCAACGCUUUCUCUGCUGGAGAUGGCCUCAAGUGCGCAAGGAUCAAGCCAGGCCCCCUCGCGGAAUCAGCUGGGCGUCCAUGAUGCUGGAGGUUCUGAAAAUAUGGUGUAAGUGCUGGUAUGCUGGUUUAUGAAACUAGCAGUUCCGACUCCCUGCCUCUUGAACAUCCUCUUUGGGAAUCCUGAAACACCAUGUGAGAAGUUUGGUUCCUCAAGAUUCCCAUGCUGGAGAGCUCAAGGCAGGCAACCUUGUGGAGGUUGCCCCAGUGAAGCCCAGGCUUCCAGCUUCCCUCAACAACUACCAUUCAUGUGCACAGAUCCUCUUGGACUCUCCAGAAGAGCCCGCCCAGAAAUAAAUACUGCUCGCGAAGUGACAGUCAGCAUCAUGGAGGGGGCAUUACCCAGUGGGGUCCUCUCUGAAUUCCUGUUCCACAAAUUGUGAGAUAUAAUAAAAAUGGUUAUUGUUUUAA